UAGGUCCAAUCAAGUUCAUGUGGACAAGCGGCGAGGUGGUCCUGGAGAUGGUCGUCCUGGUACAUAAAGUGGGUCCUACACAAAUUGGUCUCGCUACAGGCUCCGCUCGGCCGACCCCAGCCAGACAACAGGGAAGGCAACGAGGACAGUCUCUGGUUACUGAGGAACAUCUCUAACAACGGCAUAAAGUGACAAGACAUUGCCUGUUACCACGUAAAGUGUCAUCUGUGACGCCAGCCUUUUAUAUAAUUUUGCCAGAAAAUGGCCUAGUUUACUAAAUGGUUAAGUUGUAAAAUAUUAAUUAAAACUAGCCAUGAGGU